GGGCAUCCAAGGCUUAGGAGGCUGCCUGGGGAACCGGCGAGACAAACAAGCAGGCGGAACCACCUGUGACCUCAUCGCCUUCCGGUGGUGACUCCUCGAAAGUGGAGGCUCCGGAGGCCACACAAGCUCCAGGUGAAUCGUCUGGGAUGAAGGAAACCUGGCAGGAAUACAAGCUCUACCAUUGGCUUCAGGAGGUUACACCGGAAAGGUCCCAGCAACACCCCGAACAGUGUCUGGCGACUGCACUGUGACACCCCAGGUGACGGCGAAGGCCACGGCGAGCUCACUAGCACACCAGGCCGGCGAGCUUUUUGGGCCUGAACGAGCAGCCGCUCGAGAAGAGCGGCACACCUUCAUCAACCAGUGUGUCCUACUUCGAAACGGCCCCACCCCUAGGCGAGCAAUGGCGGUGCCGAAACGAUAGUGCUGGGUGUCGAUGAACUCUCCGCCAAAGCUGCCCAGGGACGGCGGCCAUACCUUCAGCCGCGUCUUAACCUGACGGCCGACAAGCAUGUCGGCAAUGUGGGGAACGCAGGGCAAGUCCCCGCAGUUCUGCCAGACGGCAAGCCAGGGAUAGCGAGGUCUAGACGUGUGCUAGACGCGAGAGGGAGAUCUUCACGGACAAAGCUGGUUUGGCAUUUUGCACCCCAAGGACAUUACCAAAGUCAAAGACCAACUCUCUUCGUCGGACCUGGAUCUGAAGGAAAGACUCAUCGGUGCACAGAACCUGGUGAACAGCUUCGUGAGUCGGGACAUCCAGACUGCCGGAAAUCAGGGCUACAAUGAAUGAAACGACGAGGCGGUCAUGGCGGUCAUUAUGAGCUCGCUGGAAGCGGACGCUGGACUUGGUGGACCGGUCGACUCCAGUGGCAUGCCGCGGCCCUUGCCUUGAAACACCCGUUCGCACUCCUGUUUACGCGGACCUCUCGCCAAUUGUUUCUUGCGUCUAACAGAGAAUAAUGCAGCUUCUAUGGACUCUCAUGCGAAGACAUUUCAUCAGUCUGUAUUCACUCCAAAGUGUGUGUACGUUACCGCACAGAAUUCUAAGUCACGUUUCGGUAAAGACAGUGCCCAACAGGAAACGUUUCAAGGAACUGAUGUCCAUCUCUCCCAGCGCGCUUCGUGGUAAAACACGUGGCGUGCUUGUCGUAGAGCGUUGGUUUUAUUAUUAAGGGUUCCUGUGUUUAGCAGCGAGUUCUGCUUAUAUAUAGUGAUGUCGGUUGUGCUCCACUAUUUCCCUGUCCACCGAUUGACAUGGGAAAAUGUGAUACAGCCACUUCGCAAGCAUCGUUAAGAUAAACUUUAUACCAUUGCUGCACAUUACCUCAAUGCGUAAACGCACACAUUUGGAAUAUCAGGCCUCAGAAAAAAAAAAUAUUAACUAAGGAGCACUGUGACGAAGCACUGACAGUGGUAGAGUUUACUUGCAAUCUGACUGGAGCACGUUAGAAGCUGCUUGUACGGUGCUCGUAAAACAGGCAGAACGAUCGUCUGAUUUACCUCGCUUCUGCGUCGUUUCCUUUGCAAAGCGUCUGCCGAUGUCCAUACUGUGAGCCCUCGAAGGCACGGGAUUUGAUGUAGGCUUUGGCGGACACGCAGUUGGAAGUGAUAUAGAGGUACGGUUUUGUAGACGCAUCAUGUCAUAUUCGAUAAGUCUAGUGGUUGCAGCUGUGUGGGUGACAUGUGAGCUGUGUUACCACGGAAUACACUGAAACAACCUUUGCGGCAAAAGGAAAUAAAGGUAAAACCAAGCAACAGUCUGUCACGUUGUGUGUGUUUGAAUGGUGUGCUUGAAUCCUGUUGUGUUUUAGUCACGAUGAUCUUAACGAUCAUCGUGGAGGCUUUAUUCAUGUCUUAAAUUCCACAAGCAAAUGGAGAUAUGCAGCCAACUGAAUUGAGCGAUGAUUCUGUGACCGCCUUAAAGUGUCCGUUGCGACGAUUAUAUAAUUGCGCAAUGAUAUUCUUUGGUGUAUAUGAGGAAAACCCGCGGCAAGUGUGCUCGUAAAAUUAGGAACCGAAUAUGCGAAUAUUGUGUCAAUAUCAAGGUUAUUACAUGACGUUGCAAUGUUAUAUUUCCAUCAGCCCACUGUAUUAAAGUUAUUCGCUUUUUCCUGUUCAAAA